AGCUAUUUGAUCCUCCUCCACCACUACCACAAUAUGAGCCACCUCCACAAUGAGAGGAUCCAGUGCAACCACGGUACAACUCUGCUUCUCUACCAUAUCAUCCAAUACCACCACAGCACAAUCUGGUGCCCCCGCAAUACAAGCAGGUGUUGCCACAGGGCCACCCGAUCCCUUCCCAGCAUAAUCCACUUCCCCUUCAGCAGGACCCAACUCCACCCGUGAUGGACCCAAGACGCAGCAAGACUUGUUAGCACUGUAGUAAGGACCAUGAGAACUGACCAUGCUAUUGCCUUAACAAUACCUGCUGCAUAUAC
rnacentral:lncRNA from 1 species